AUCCAGCUGACGAGUCCAAAAUAGGAUGAAAUGUUCGUCCUGCUAAU
rfam:Schistosoma curassoni strain Dakar, Senegal genome assembly, scaffold: SCTD_contig0000627